ACUAUAUUAAUUAGUUUAAUUUACAAUUAAUCUGUGUUCAUCUAAAAGUUUUUCACAAAUUCUUAUAAUUACUAAAAAUUACACUAGGAAGAUUUUUUUUGAAUUUUAUUCAAUUUUCAUUUUUUCUUUUAUGAACAAUAAUUUUUAAAAGCAAUCAAGCUAACUAAUUUAUUUAUUAAAAAAAAUAAAUCAAGGUUUAACCGAUCCGGAAUCUGGCAUACUCAAGUAACUUACAUUAAUCUACGAAAUAUUUGCGAAUAAACCUUUGUGAAUCAAAUAAUUAUUUUAAAAACACAAAACAAAAUACGAACAAAGAAAUACAUUUAAGAUAAUAACAAAGUCUCUAUCUCAACUAUUUGGGGUUGGCUCUAGUCGAUUUGACAUGUUUUCACACUGACUGUCGACCCGACGCAACCUCAUUAAAGCUGAAGGAGUAAUACAGGGGCAAGGUGUAUGUUCCUAUUUGGUCACCCAUUUGGAAACCAACAGCAAAGCUGAACAUCAACGUUAUGGCAGCGACUUGCGAUUAAUCCACUGCGCCAAACUAUGCUCAAAGAUGCCGACCGCGUUACGCUGUUUUACUGUCAUAAUAAUAUGCACUCAUUAGUCAUAUCCGCUAUUAUAAUAGCCGGAAAACUGAUCGUAAUGUAAUAUUUGGUAGGACACUAUUCAAAACAUAAACAUUGGUUUGGAUGCUGAAACGUAAGAUAGGUAUAUAAUUUUGAAAAUAUUCAAUAAAUGAUGUAAGAAAACUUGUAAUAGUUAACUUCUACAAUAUAGAUAUGUCAUCGAGUCUAUUUUAAUUAAGACGCUAAUUUAACUAGCUUUCAGUUUAUUAUAUAGUAUCAUGCAAUACUUAGAAUAUAAUUUUCUUUUCAAAUUGAACAAAUUGUUUUAAAAAUUCUAGUAGUUUAAAAUAAUAACAACAAUUCAACUUUUUAUGAUUUUUUUUAUUUAGUAAUUAUUUUAUGUUUACUUGUGUCGUAACCAUAAUUUCAAGUUA